AAUAGAUACCCGGGUAGUCCACGCCCUAAACGAUGUCUACUAGUUGUCGGGUCUUAAUUGACUUGGUAACGCAGCUAACGCGUGAAGUAGACCGCCUGGGGAGUACGGUCGCAAGAUUAAAACUCAAAGGAAUUGACGGGGACCCGCACAAGCGGUGGAUGAUGUGGAUUAAUUCGAUGCAACGCGAAAAACCUUACCUACCCUUGACAUGUCAGGAAGCCUGAAGAGAUCUGGGUGUGCCCGAAAGGGAGCCUGAACACAGGUGCUGCAUGGCUGUCGUCAGCUCGUGUCGUGAGAUGUUGGGUUAAGUCCCGCAACGAGCGCAACCCUUGUCAUUAGUUGCUACGAAAGGGCACUCUAAUGAGACUGCCGGUGACAAACCGGAGGAAGGUGGGGAUGACGUCAAGUCCUCAUGGCCCUUAUGGGUAGGGCUUCACACGUCAUACAAUGGUACAUACAGAGGGCCGCCAACCCGCGAGGGGAGCUAAUCCCAGAAAGUGUAUCGUAGUCCGGAUCGCAGUCUGCAA
rnacentral:rRNA from 1 species